GAAAAAGAAAGAAGGCACAAGCGUUUUGGUUUUUCUCUGUCUCGUUUGUCUCUGUCUCGUUCGUUCUCUUUCUCUAGCAAAUAGCAAUCGCCCAUCACCAAACCAAACCGAUCUAAGGCUCUCAAAUCCGUCGCACCGCUCUCAGCCUCUCUCUCUCUCUCUCUCUCAGCGCAGACAGGUUUAACUGAAGAUGUCGCCGAGGAUUCUGGUGCUGUCUGUUUGUCAUGAUAAAAAAUUUCAACAUUUGGAGUUUCACAUUGUGGAUCUAGAGAACCAGAAAAUUCAUCGCAAUGUCUCACCUCCUUUGUUUAGUACUUCUGGAUUUACUAGGAUGUUGAGUUUGUGUGAGUCGAUCUAUAUUUUUGGUGGCUAUAGUACUUCAGAAGAUGUCGCUGAUAUUGACUCUUAUGUAUCCCAAAACCCCACGGAUACCUUUUACAUGGGCUCAGCUCAUAUGCGAUUAGCCGCCAGUGACUCUGUAGGGGAGUGGUGCAAACAUCCAAAGCCAAUUUUCGGACACCUUUUUGCCAACAGUACUUGCCUCCAUGGAAAGAUUUACAACAUGGGAUUCCAUGACCUUGAUCCGCAGUUGUUUGAUCCCACCUCUGAUUCGUGGGAGAGUAUAACUUUGCCUUCUGAAUUACAAGGCUGCUUCCUGUCCAUGUUUGCGAUGCCAGACCCUUCUCACGAUCGUAUCAUCCUUCACUUGGAAAGGGGCUCACUUCCAUCACCUUCUAUCUAUGCUUACUAUCCUAGCUCUGAUGAAUGGAAACUUAUUGUUUCCGAUUUUUCAGACUGGGAUCCGGUCUCAGCAGUUGCUGAUGGCGUGAUCUACUUUAAUUACUACAAAUGUCACACUCUCGUUGCCGCUUAUGAUUUGAAAAGCCUCAAGUGGUUGGACGUGCAUUUGUCAGAUACUGUUGUUGAUGGUUCUUAUAUACUAAUUAACCGCUUUAAGGAAUUGCUCUAUUUAGGUGACAACUCCUUUUGCUUGUCCGUUCACUCGCUUCAAAUCGCCAACUCAAACUCCAUUCGAGUGUUUUUCGUCAAGUUUACAAUUGAGCGGACAGAUUCAGUCAUUAAUAUCAUUCCCCAGUCAGCCAGCCACUUUAUCCUUCCACACACUUCCUACUUGCGUAACAUGAUCGCACUUUCUUAGGAUCUUGGAUAUGUUUGAUUGUUUGCAUGAUUCUGCAGUAAUUUUAUUCUGAGAACUACUGAAACCAGGAAAGGAGCAGCAAUUACGUUUGAGAACUCAGAACUCAACUCACGAUGAAGAUUGAAGAAGCAGAGUCCAGCAAGACAGCAAGUUUAAUAUUAGCCUGUGACUCUUUAGGCACUUUUUCUGUUGUUUUUAAACGUAAACUUAGCAAGCAACUCAAAUUUUAAUUUCCGGAUGUUUUAAAUUUGUGAUUGUGAACUAGCUAAGUGUAGCUGGUCAGUGACUUGUGGUAAACAUGAAUUUUUAGGAUGUUUUUCUGUGAUUCUAGUGAAUUUAAUUAAAUUAAUAAUCAAAUUUUUUUUUUUAA